UACGGAGGGGGCCAGCGUUGUUCGGAAUUAUUGGGCGUAAAGGGCGCGUAGGCGGCAUUGCAAGUCAGUGGUGAAAUCCCUCGGCUCAACCGAGGAACUGCCCCUGAUACUGCUUUGCUUGAGUCCCGGAGAGGGUAGUGGAAUUCCCAGUGUAGCGGUGAAAUGCGUAGAUAUUGGGAGGAACACCAGUGGCGAAGGCGACUACCUGGACGGGUACUGACGCUGAGGCGCGAAAGCGUGGGUAGCAAACAGG
rnacentral:rRNA from 1 species